rnacentral:misc_RNA from 1 species
AUUGAAUUCUAGCCAUGGCACCAAACACUUGGAAUGGAAUUUGUGGGCACAUGUCAAUUGCAUUAAGUUAUCACUAAUCUUGAAUUGAUCCAAGCAAAUUGAACAUUCAUCCUGUUCUUGAGAUUUCCAAAUCAUUUUUGCCCAAUUAAACUUCUUUGAUCCACUUCUCUUUAGUCCUGAAAAUACUUCUCCUUGCAAAUUUGGCCUAUUCUCCACCAUCUCUUGGUUUUGGUUUGGUUUUUGUCUAUUGUUGAGACCCCUCUUAUUUUGUGAUUUCCAUCUUGCACUAAGCCUCUCAUCCAACCUUUGCUUGGCUUCUCUUACAGCUUCACCUAGUUUCUCAUCUUGAUAUGCUUGACUUAUUACACCCCUUUGCUUGGAUGAACUUGAAUUGAGGUGGUGUUCAUGAUUACUAGUGUAUAGACAAAAAGAAGACCUUCUUGUGGAUGAAAAACUAGAGGUGUUUGAUGAAUCUAUACAUCCAUUACUUUGAUGAAAUCUCCUUCUUCUAGCACAUUCAACACCA